rnacentral:rRNA from 1 species
GGCGCAGCCUGAUGCAGCCAUGCCGCGUGUAUGAAGAAGGCCUUCGGGUUGUAAAGUACUUUCAGCAGUGAGGAAGGAGGUAUCGUUAAUAGCGGUAUCUUUUGACGUUAGCUGCAGAAGAAGCACCGGCUAACUCCGUGCCAGCAGCCGCGGUAAUACGGAGGGUGCGAGCGUUAAUCGGAAUUACUGGGCGUAAAGCGCAUGCAGGUGGUUUGUUAAGUCAGAUGUGAAAGCCCGGGGCUCAACCUCGGAAUUGCAUUUGAAACUGGCAGGCUAGAGUACUGUAGAGGGGGGUAGAAUUUCAGGUGUAGCGGUGAAAUGCGUAGAGAUCUGAAGGAAUACCGGGUGGCGAAGGCGGCCCCCUGGACAGAUACUGACACUCAGAUGCGAAACCGUGGGGAGCAAACAGAAUAAAUCCCUGGUAAUCCACGCCGUAACGAAGUCUCUUGGAGGUUGUGGCCUUGGGGCGUGGCUUUCGGAGCUAACGCGUAAGUAAAC